UUCAGCUUCAUCAAAACUGCUCGUGUUACCGAGUGAACCAUCUUGUUACACACUUGCGGGAAUAAUCACAUUUUCACAAGAGUUAAGUUUCAACGAAAAGUCACGUAUCCUUCUUGGAAAAGAAAGUUUUGGAGUUUUAUUGCAAGCAGGCAUUAACAACUGAAAAAUGGCAUCUUUUGGGGAAUAAACGGAUUCAGAGGAUGACAUUUGACAGGUACAGUUAGUUUUCAUUAUGUAAUUUUUGACAGCAGUUUCAAGGCUGGGACGU